rnacentral:lncRNA from 1 species
UUUCCAUAUUUUUGGCUACUGCUUCUACUGCUGCACUGCUCUGAUUCAAUGAAUGUUUCACUUCUUUCAUGGUGCAUUUAAUUUUCACUAUAUUAUGUUGUUACUUUAAAAAAGUAUAAAAAAGUAUAGACAGAAGAUUUAGGCAGGGCCUGUGCAAGGCAGGUUCAGCCCGUUCACUGGAACCCAGCCCUGCGUUUUGAGAGGCCCCGUGGUCUAUGAAAAUUACCCAAUUAAAAAACACUGAUUUUGAUUAACUUUUUACAGAAUGAUGAUACCAUUAACAGAUGCAAGACAUUUUUUUAGUAGCAAUGAUUCAGUUUAAAGGAGUGAC